UCUCAGGUAGCCCCCAGGAUAAAGUGGCAGUGUCUUUAUCAACUUUGAUGACCUUGAGAAAAGUUGGCUGUUCAGGUACUGGAAAACACAAGACCAACAAUAGACACUUAUAAAUCGAUGUCCAUGGACUCUUUCCUUUGGAAUUGCUGACCAGGAAACUUUCACUAAUGUGCUGUUUAUAACAUCCACUCCAUGGAUCACGGGAGCUGUAUCAGGAUCUGUUAAGCACACAAGAAGGAUUAGCUUCCAAUAAUCUCCUAACACCAUCAUUCGGAUCCUUUUCAAAAGAACUGGCAGAAAUAAAAAGGACAUAGCCAUGAAUUCCAUAAGUGUAAAUGGGGAUUUUCCACGGCUUCUCAGUCAGAACUCUUUCCACCUGACUCCAUCCAUCCAUCUCUAUCUUC